AUGAACGGCUUCUACUCGUCCAUCGCCCACGGCCUCGACGCGCUCCACGCCACGCUGGCCUCGUCGCCGGACGCCGCCUUCAUGUCGGCGCCCUUCCUCCAGCAGGCGGCCGCGCUGCUCCGGUCGCUGCACUCGCAGCUCGUCCACCUCGUGCAGCGCCUCCACCUGCCACCAGGGGAGAGCUGGCUCGACGAGUACAUGGACGAGACCUCCCGCCUCUGGGAGGCCUGCCAGGUCGUCAAGGCCGGCGCCUCCGCCCUUGACACCUACUGCGCCUCCGCCGCACGCAUCGACGCCGCCCUCGACGACUGGCUCUGCAACCCCAACCCCCACACCGCCCGCCAGGUGAUGCGUGCGAUCAACGCGCCGCGGCGGCAGGCCGUGGGGCUGGAGCAGGAGAACCGGGCGCUCGCAGAGACCAGGAUCGACCCGGCGUCGCUGCUGCUCGACGACCGGUCGCCGGUGGAGUUCAAGCUCAACGCCUUCAACGGCUUCCGGGGCGUGCUCUACGCGCUGCGCAACGCCAGCUCCUUCCUCCUCAUGCUCCUCGUCUCAGGGACCGUCUCCUGCCUCCCGGACCUCGCCUGCUGCGCGCACCCAUUCCGCACCUCAGGCGCCGGCUACGUCUCCUCCAUGGGGCGGCUGCGCCAGCGCGUCGCCGAGGAGAUGGAGGCGGUCGCCGGCGAGCACUCCGGCUCCGGCGUCAUGAUGUACGAGUUCCGGCAGGCCAGGGCCGGCAUUGAGAGCCUCAAGACAGAGUUCGACAGGGUCGUCGCCAUUGGGUACGGCGACCCUGGCGAGAUCGCCGAGAGGGUGGAGAUCAUCAAAGGAUGGGUCGGGAUGCUGAGGUCAGGGGCGGAGGGCGUCGUCGGCGAGCUGGACGACUUCUUUGAUGAGAUUGUGGAAGGCAGGAAGAUGCUGUCGGACCUGUGCAGCCAUCGCUGA
rnacentral:rRNA from 1 species